GUGAAUCAUCAAAUUUUUGAACGCAAAUUGCACUCUCCUCGGAUAGUAUGCCUGUUUGAGGGUCAGCCUAUAAAAAAUCGACAUCGGUGCUGUUUCUCGGUUGCGUUCGUCGGAAAUUGGAUCAUCUUAAAUCUUUUGGUUUUAAGCGACUUAAAAUUUUCUUUUUUGUUCCAUGAUCUUUUCUAAGAUUUAUUUCUUUACACGUUUAAGGUAUCUAUUUUUAUUAGACGUGACCAUCAUAUCGGAUCUCUCCCUUAAUCUUUCAUUAACUGAUCUCAGACAGGUAAGAG
rnacentral:misc_RNA from 1 species